rnacentral:rRNA from 1 species
CCCGUGUCUACCUUACCUUUGUUGCUUUGGCAGGCCGCCUUCAGGCGUCGGCUCCGGCUGACAGUGCUUGCCAGAGGACCCAACUCUUUUGUUUAGUGAUGUCUGAGUACUAUAUAAUAGUUAAAACUUUCAACAACGGAUCUCUUGGUUCUGGCAUCGAUGAAGAACGCAGCGAAAUGCGAUAAGUAAUGUGAAUUGCAGAAUUCAGUGAAUCAUCGAAUCUUUGAACGCACAUUGCGCCCCUUGGUAUUCCGAGGGGCAUGCCUGUUCGAGCGUCAUUUGACCACUCAAGCCUAGCUUGGUAUUGGGGUUCGCGGUUCCGCGGCCCCUAAAAUCAGUUGCGGUGCCAUCUGGCUUCAAGCGUAGUAAUUUUCUCGCUAUGGAGUUCGGGCGGUUACUUGCCAGAAUCCCCACAUUUAUAAGGUUGACCUCGGAUCAGGUAGGGAUACCCGCUGAACUUAAGCAUAUCA